rnacentral:lncRNA from 1 species
ACAUCACGUGCCUCUGUUGCAUACAUUUCAAUGAUGUGAGAGGUUUCUAAAGCAUCUCUGCUAUCAUGAAAUUUAGAAAAGUAUUUUUCCUUUUGUUUUUUAGGAAAGUCGCAUUCCCAUAGUUCCAGGGUCUAUGGCUUUACAAAAAUCAUCAAAUAUUUUGGAUUCAGAGAAAAAAAUCAAUCACGUGGAUCCCUCCCAGUCACCCGGAAAAUGCAAGGAAAAUCAACAAAAUUAUGCAGCCUUUAGCAGCUCAAGUAACUGCUCUCGUAAGUGUAAGCAGGUAGGUCUUUGUCAGUAUAUUUGCUCUUCAGAGAUAAAAUAAUCCAGCCAGCUGCAUUAAUUAAAAAAUAAAGAACCUAAAAUACUUUGGGGCUCA